UAGAGGUCGCCGGUUCGAUUGAC
rnacentral:siRNA from 1 species